UGUGAUGACAAAAGGUGAAGGGGAAUCUU
rnacentral:piRNA from 1 species